AACGCACCUUGCGCCCUUUGGUAUUCCGAAGGGCAUGCCUGUUUGAGUGUCAUUAAAUUCUCAAUCUUAUUAGGCUUUUUGUCUAAUAAGACUUGGAUGUGGAGGCUGCGGGCUUGUCUUCAAGUCGGCUCCUCUGAAAUGUAUUAGCUGGGUUUGCGCCUUCAGCCUAUUGGUGUGAUAAUUAUCUACGCCUCUUGGGUCGCUAGCGUGUAUUGACUUUCCAGCUUCUAAUCGUCCGCAAGGACAAUUUUGAACCAUUUGACCUCAAAUCAGGUAGGACUACCCGCUGAACUUAA
rnacentral:misc_RNA from 1 species